rnacentral:lncRNA from 1 species
CACCUUCAAAUUUUUCACAAUUUUAAGCAAGGAAAUAUAGAGUUUAGUAUCUUAAUUUUGAAAGGCAAACAUGUCUAUCUAAGCUCUGGCGAUGGCUGGCGGUAAUUACUCUGAAUGUGGCAUCAAUGUUGAGUUUAGUGAGUUGGAAUUACAGCCACCGUUGUAUCUUGAAGCUGAGGAAGAUAAUCUGAGUUUUCGAGAUAAUAAAAAAGCCGCUGAUAUUACUUCCAUCAAAGAAAGGAUUCGGGAAUGGGCUAAAGCAGUUGCUUCUAUCAAUUUUACGAAUAUUUCUGAGUCCAAAUCAGAAAUUUACGAGGAUGCAACAGUUCUACAAAUUGUUAAUCGAAAGGAAGCAUUUAGAGC